GGGCGCAUAGCUCAGUUGGUUAGAGCACCGGCUUUACAAGCCGGGUGUCGGGGGUUCGAGACCCUCUGCGCCCA
rnacentral:tRNA from 1 species